AAAAAGAAAAAAAAAAAUUAUGAUCUGUCGUCGUCUGCCUUCGCGUCGGCUCUCGAUCGAUUGCAUCUCCGAUCGAAGAGGAAUACUACCUCAAACGCAACGUCAAUCGCCGUUGAAAUUUGCGAUCAUAUCUUCCUGGCGAUAAAGAUGCUUCCAUCGAAGGACGAUUUCAGGGAUAUUACUGAACUUGAUGUUAGACGAUCACAUGCUCUCUGCAGUGGGAUAUUGCUACAGCUGAAUUGUUCGGUGGUUACCCUACUUUUCUUUUCGCGUCUUUAGCCUCCAUUCUAAGUUACCUAACUUUCUUUGUUUUAUUUUUAUUUUUAUUUUUAUUUUCUUGCAAGAAUAAAAUAGUUAUUGUCUUCCUAUGUGAUAUUUAUUCCUUGCGCAAAA